rnacentral:tRNA from 1 species
GGCUGUGUAGCUCAGUUGGCAGAGCGCUGCUCUCAUGAGGCAGAUGUCGGCGGUUCAACUCCGCCCACAGCCA